ensembl:lncRNA novel transcript
GCCGCCCCACCAGGCCCGGAGCAUGCGCGGGCGCACUGAGACCUCAGCCUUACAAGACCGGCUCCGCUGAGGCUCCGCCGGCCGCCAGGUAUCCGCUCAGCGCAGGGCGCGGCGGACCUGCGGGCCGUGGGAACCGCUGGGCAGUGGCAGCGAGGCCCCUCACCUGUCUCUGGGGCCCCCCGGGGACGACCGGACCCCGAUCUCUGCGCCCCGCAGGACGCGCGUUGACGGUCGCCCGUGUGCAGCGCCACCAUCCCGGCCGCUCUUCCAAUCUCGCCUUUCUCCGGGCACCUGCCGCCCCUCCCCCGCUCCCCAGACAGGCUUUGCGGAGGGGGCUCAUUCCGCCCGGGGCUGCCGGGCCCUCCGCAGGAGUUGGCUCCCCACAAGGUUCCGGGGCCGAGACGACAGGGCGGUUCUGUGGUGCUGGGUGCUGGGACUUCAGGGGCACAGGGGCACCUGCCCUGGAGGAGGCCGAGGCGCAGCCCCCCAGGAGGAAGGGGUGCCUCUGGUGACUUUCAGCGGGACUCUUCCAGCCGGACUCUAGUGCAGCUGAGCUCCUCCCCCAGUCCCGGCUCUGUCCCUGCCCCAGGUGUCCAGCAGGCCCUGGAAUCCGCAAAGGCAGAAGGGGAAGUUGGGGUGCUGGGUGCUGGGCAGGGGGUGCUGAGGCCUCACAGCCCGGCGGCUUGGCCCCCACCCACCCCACGGUGGUCCCGCGCCCCACACUUCCUCUCCUCUCCUGUGGUUUCUCCUUCCACUCAGUGCUGCCCAGAGAUGGGCUUCUGUCUAGUUCUCCUGAGAAAUUCCACACUCGCAGCUGGGAAGUCGGGGGACCCCCGAAGCUGUGCGGCGGCCACGCUGCGGCUCCUGCUUCCCUCCUGCUCGGGUGCGGGCUCGGCUGCCUUCUCGUCCCGCGGAGCCCGGAGUGCCUCCCCCUCGGGUAGAUCCUACUAACAGCAUCAAAGAAAUAAUGAAAUAAUCUCUCCUUGGUGUGUUCUUACCGUCCUAAUAGGCACAAGGGGACUCUUCAGUGCAUUUUCCAAAACCUGUACAAACUCUCUUGACAUAAAUGCAGUGAGUUUACAAUAAAAUCGCAGUGGGAGGUAA